rnacentral:rRNA from 1 species
AUGGGCGCAGCCUGAUCCAGCCUGCCGCGUGCAGGAUGAAGGCCUUCGGGUUGUAAACUGCUUUUGUACGGAACGAAACGGCCUUUUCUAAUAAAGAGGGCUAAUGACGGUACCGUAAGAAUAAGCACCGGCUUAACUACGUGCCAGCAGCCGNGGGUAAUA